rnacentral:rRNA from 1 species
UACGGGGGGGGCAAGCGUUGUUCGGAAUUACUGGGCGUAAAGGGCUCGUAGGCGGCCAACUAAGUCCGACGUGAAAUCCCUCGGCUUAACCGGGGAACUGCAUCUGAUACUGGAUGGCUUGAGUUCGGGAGAGGGAUGCGGAAUUCCAGGUGUAGCGGUGAAAUGCGUAGAUAUCUGGAGGAACACCGGUGGCGAAGGCGGCAUCCUGGACCGACACUGACGCUGAGGAGCGAAAGCCAGGGGAGCAAACGGG